UCAAUUAAAGUUGGAUGAUACGCGUAAUCAACUACGCGUCACAUAAAAUUAUGGCGCCCACCCGAAAAAUAAUCACGGUUUGGCAGAAAUUUUAACUGAAGUGGAAGGUUUAAAAAGAACUGCUGAAGUCAUAUGAGCUGUCAUUGUUGUGUGCAGGUCAUGUAUAUGGAGUGCGCGUUCAUUUAACGUCUCACAUAAUCGCACGGAUAUUGGAGCUCUCCUUUCUUCAUUGGUGUUUAUAUUUGAUAUCUCUAAUCUUGCUGAUCACGUCAAUCUGUCCAAAUGGUUUAUGUAUUUCUGUGCAUAUUUCUGUGUGUGUUUCUGUGCAUAUUUGCGUCUCUGGAUCAGAGAUCUUUACUGUUUAUCCUUGGAUCUAAGCAAUGAUGAGUUUAAUGAUAUUGUGGUUAUUGUGGCUGUCAUUUGGUCAAGGAUUCACAAUGAAAAUGGGUUGGAAUGAAGAACUUGAGUUUUGUGAGGAAGAAUGGAAAAAAUUUUUUGCGGACAAAAUUGGAAUCGAUUUGAAAUGCAACAAUACUCGUACACGUUGUUGUGUCGAAGAGAAGAAAUAUCUUUUGGAGCGAUUUAAAAUGUUUAGUGAAA